rnacentral:rRNA from 1 species
UACAGAGGGGGCUAGCGUUGUUCGGAAUUACUGGGCGUAAAGGGCGCGUAGGUGGCCUGUUAAGUCGAACGUGAAAUCCCCGGGCUCAACCCGGGAACUGCGUCCGAGACUGGCAGGCUCGAAUCCGGGAGAGGGAUGUGGAAUUCCAGGUGUAGCGGUGAAAUGCGUAGAUAUCUGGAGGAACACCGAUGGCGAAGGCAGGUCUCUGGGCCACUACUGACGCUGAGAAGCGAAAGCAUGGGGAGCGAACAGG